GGGGGCGGGUGGGGUCUGGUGACCCCAGCGGUCUUCAAAACCGUCUGGCCCGGCUUGAACCCGGGCUGGUGAGUUCGAUUCUCACACGCUCCCGCCA
rnacentral:tRNA from 1 species